CUGUCAAGUAACCUGAGCUGGGCACAGUUCUCGGCAUGGCAGUGAAGGUGCACGUUGAAUAUUGGUAAGCUCUCUUCUUACCAUUAUGUGCCAUAUUGAUGUCAGUGGCCAACAUUAUUCAAAUUGUGGUGUUAGCUUGUAGGCACAGUCUAAAUCUCACUUACCAAAGUGAAUGAUAUUCAAUCUAAAUCGAAUCUAACUCAAUCUAAAUUGUGUACAUGUUUAAAUAUUGUUUUUAAAAUGGUCAUUACAGCAUGGGAUGAGGGUACGCCUCCCGCUAUCGGGACUUGGCCUUCGAGAUCAAGAAGGCCAUACCCGAUGCGGUUGUGACUGGCAGAACUGGACGGCCAACCAGCUUUGAAGUCACUGUUGAUGGAAAAGUCAUCUUCUCCAAAAUCAACAGCCAUAGUUUUCCAGAUACAAAGAAGGCAAGUACCUUGAGAUUUCUUUGUAUUUUAAAGUGUGCUAUACAAAUAAAAUCCAUUAUUAUUAUUAAGUACAGUGAAGUGAAAGUGAAACUAUAAGUAUUACAUUGUUCGUUAUUUGGCAAAAAUAAUUGUAAAAAAAAAAAAUGUACGUAAAAUAAUUUUGACGCUUGAUUUCUAGAUUGUGAAGGCCAUCCAGCAGGGUACCGAUGAGGAGGAUGUCACCAUGGUGGCAAAAACCAAAAACAGCUGUGUGGUUCUGUAAUCUCAGGCGUCAGCAGACGGCUGGAUAGGUCAGGAUUUGCAUCCGGAAAUGAUUCCGUUUAUGAUUGGGUUCCUGGAAACGCAAGGGGAACCCAUGAUGUCUGCUCAGAGUGAUUUCCAUUGAUGUGAACUGAUCUACAAAGUGCAUUCAUUUAUAUUUUCUUUAACAAUUUAGUAGUUUGUUUAAAUAGCAUCCUUACUUUUCCUUUUCACCACCUCCAGACAGAAAUAUUAUUCUUUUUUCAGGCAUUGUUCAUGAGUA
ensembl:lncRNA